rnacentral:rRNA from 1 species
UUGAACGCUGGCGGCAUGCCUUACACCUGCAAGUCGAACGGUAACAGGUCUUCGGAUGCUGACGAGUGGCGACCGGGUGAGUAAUACAUCGGAACGUGCCCGAUCGUGGGGGAUAACGGAGCGAAAGCUUUGCUAAUACCGCAUACGAUCUACGGAUGAAAGCAGGGGACCGCAAGGCCUUGCGCGGACGGAGCGGCCGAUGGCAGAUUAGGUAGUUGGUGGGAUAAAAGCUUACCAAGCCGACGAUCUGUAGCUGGUCUGAGAGGACGACCAGCCACACUGGGACUGAGACACGGCCCAGACUCCUACGGGAGGCAGCAGUGGGGAAUUUUGGACAAUGGGCGAAAGCCUGAUCCAGCCAUGCCGCGUGCAGGAUGAAGGCCUUCGGGUUGUAAACUGCUUUUGUACGGAACGAAAAGACUCUUUCUAAUAAAGAGGGUCCAUGACGGUACCGUAAGAAUAAGCACCGGCUAACUACGUG